CUGUGAUGCCACCCUUUGUUUCCCACCUGCGUCAUCUCCGGUACCGUCUCCUCGUGUCUCCCUGCGAAGCAGAAACUAUUCACGGAGCCCCAGAGAGGUCAAAAUCAAAUACAUUAAACAAUAAUUCAGUACAGGAAGCGGGUCCGCAGCUGCUGCUAAUCACUCAGUCAGUCGUCACGGAGGAGCAGAGGAACAGAGCAGCGGAAACAGCGGCGGCUUUUAGUCUGUCUGAGAAAACUCAGAAGGAUUCUGCUCAGCAUCAAAGAUUAAAGAUGCUAGAGGAGGGAAACAGCCGGCCACUCCCGACGCUUUUCAACGCUCAUUUUUUGAUUUCAUUUAUUUGAAGUUGAAUUAUGUGGGCACCAAUCCACCUUUCACACACACAGCAUGAGGAGAAUUUGAUCUUAACCUGAGUGCAUCUCACCUCCUGUUGCUCAUCUACAUGUGCUUCAUAUAAUCAUUACAUUUUUUUUGCCUAUUAAAGUGUUAAUUGGUGUGAACAUGUGUCAGAUGCAGCAUAUAUCUAUGUUUGUUAUGAUCCCAGUUAGUUAGGUUCUCUUGUUUCCUGUUUUAUUUUGAAAUUGUGCCCUCAUGUGUGGUAUCUUGCUUUUCUGUUCCUCCUGCCAGUGUUUUUCCGUUCUUUGUCCCGCCUCUCGCACCUGUACCUGAUCACCUCAU